rnacentral:rRNA from 1 species
AGAGUUUGAUCAUGGCUCAGGAUGAACGCUAGCUACAGGCUUAACACAUGCAAGUCGAGGGGAAACGACAUCGAAAGCUUGCUUUUGCUGGGCGUCGACCGGCGCACGGGUGAGUAACGCGUAUCCAACCUGCCCACCACUUGGGGAUAACCUUGCGAAAGUAAGACUAAUACCCAAUGACGUCUCUAGAAGACAUCUGAAGGAGAUUAAAGAUUUAUCGGUGAUGGAUGGGGAUGCGUCUGAUUAGCUUGUUGGCGGGUAACGCCACAAGGCGACGAUCAGUAGGGGUUCUGAGAGGAAGGUCCCCCANAUUGGAACUGAGACACGGUCCAAACUCCUACGGGAGCA